rnacentral:tRNA from 6 species
CGGGGCGUGGCUCAGCUUGGCUAGAGUGCCUGCCUUGGGAGCAGGAGGUCGCUGGUUCGAAUCCAGUCGCCCCGACCA